CCGCGCUGUCCAGUGUCCGGCCGCACGCUUCCAACGCCGGCGUGUUCGGGACGGCGCAGGGGCCCGGCCACCGUGCUGAAGUAGCCUCCUUGUCCUCUACCAUCCAUAAAAGUCAUCUCCGAACAGCGAAGAGCCAACGCUCGGGCAUCCGUCCGAGGCUCCCAGGUGUCCGUGCUGUGUUUGCGUCGGGAUCCGGAUUCAGUCCAUUGGCCACAGCUGGAGGCCGUGGGCCAACUGGCUGGGACUACAGACAACCCAGGGCUGCUGCUGCUGGACCCCACCCACUGAGCCUCAUCUCAAAUCCCCGUCAAACCAGGGGCCUGCUCAGCUGCCCUCACCCUGCACGUGUGAAGCUUACUGAGUAAGCUCAGGGGAGGAGGAGGAGGGACUGCCUCUUGAGCCAGCCGAUGUCCCAGGUGGGGAUGAUGAGUAGGAACCGACACCCAGUGGCACAGCCGAGCUGCGCCAGCAGGAGCACACCCGCUGUGGGUGGACUGGGGGUUCCAGAGCCGAAGAGCAGACAGGCUGGCAGUGGAGGGCUUUCCUGCUGGGUGGUGGAGGUGGCGGCAGCAGCAGAUACUGAUGCACCAGGUGUCACGUGCACUACCCCCCACCUGGCCCGAGGGCUCACAUCAGCUGAGGGAGAUGGGCAUGUGUCCACUUGGAGGAGCACAGGAGAGCCAGGCCGUCCAGUGACUGGUGGGCUGCACUCUGACAAGCAGUGGGGUGGGGCCCGCGGUCACCAUUCCUGUACAUGCCCCGGAGAGCGCCGCUGUUGCUACCUGGCUGUGGCAAAGCUGGUCCAGGCCACUCUCAGCGACCCCCCGCCAAGGGCCACCACAGGGCAGAGCCGGCACAGCAGGUCUGAGGGAGCUCCCCAGGAGGCCCAUCUGGGCUUCUCCGGGGUCAGAGUCAAGCAGGCACCCCGCCCCCGCCCCGAUGGAGAGAUGACGGAGCAGGGGGCCUAGGCUGGGCAGCAGGACAGUUCCACUCUGGACACGUUGCAAACACCACAGUCCAGAGUUUAGACUUCAUCCAUAGUUACAGUUUAGGAAACCCCAUCUUUUAUCCCUAAAUUUGUCAUCAAAACUUUAUUAUGAAAAAAAUAUAAAUAACUUGCAUACAAA